rnacentral:rRNA from 1 species
UACGUAGGGACCAAGCGUUGUUCGGAUUUACUGGGCGUAAAGCGCGCGUAGGCGGCUUUGCAAGUCGGGUGUGAAAUCCCCAGGCUUAACCUGGGAACUGCAUUCGAGACUGCAUUGCUAGAGUAUGGGAGAGGGAAGUGGAAUUUCCGGUGUAGCGGUGAAAUGCGUAGAUAUCGGAAGGAACAUCAGUGGCGAAAGCGACUUCCUGGACCAAUACUGACGCUCAUGUGCGAAAGCGUGGGGAGCAAACAGG